rfam:Octopus bimaculoides Scaffold30190_contig_193, whole genome shotgun sequence.
GGCAGUUUAGCUUAAUUGGUCUAAGAGCACCGCGACGCGUAAUCACGGAGGUGUGAGUUCGAGUCUCAUAGCUGGCC